AUUGAACGCUGGCGGCAGGCUUAACACAUGCAAGUCGAACGAUGAUUUCCCAGCUUGCUGGGAAUGAUUGGUGGCGGACGGGUGAGUAACAUUUAGGAAUCUGCCUAGUAGUGGGGGAUAGCUCGGGGAAACUCGAAUUAAUACCGCAUACGACCUACGGGUGAAAGGGGGCGCAAGCUCUUGCUAUUAGAUGAGCCUAAAUCAGAUUAGCUAGUUGGUGGGGUAAAGGCCCACCAAGGCGACGAUCUGUAACUGGUCUGAGAGGAUGAUCAGUCACACCGGAACUGAGACACGGUCCGGACUCCUACGGGAGGCAGCAGUGGGGAAUAUUGGACAAUGGGGGCAACCCUGAUCCAGCCAUGCCGCGUGUGUGAAGAAGGCCUUUUGGUUGUAAAGCACUUUAAGCAGGGAGGAGAGGCUAAUGGUUAAUACCCAUUAGAUUAGACGUUACCUGCAGAAUAAGCACCGGCUAACUCUGUGCCAGCAGCCGCGGUAAUACAGAGGGUGCGAGCGUUAAUCGGAAUUACUGGGCGUAAAGCGAGUGUAGGUGGCUCAUUAAGUCACAUGUGAAAUCCCCGGGCUUAACCUGGGAACUGCAUGUGAUACUGGUGGUGCUAGAAUAUGUGAGAGGGAAGUAGAAUUCCAGGUGUAGCGGUGAAAUGCGUAGAGAUCUGGAGGAAUACCGAUGGCGAAGGCAGCUUCCUGGCAUAAUAUUGACACUGAGAUUCGAAAGCGUGGGUAGCAAACAGGAUUAGAUACCCUGGUAGUCCACGCCGUAAACGAUGUCUACUAGCCGUUGGGGUCCUUGAGACUUUAGUGGCGCAGUUAACGCGAUAAGUAGACCGCCUGGGGAGUACGGCCGCAAGGUUAAAACUCAAAUGAAUUGACGGGGGCCCGCACAAGCGGUGGAGCAUGUGGUUUAAUUCGAUGCAACGCGAAGAACCUUACCUGGUCUUGACAUAGUGAGAAUCCUGCAGAGAUGCGGGAGUGCCUUCGGGAAUUCACAUACAGGUGCUGCAUGGCUGUCGUCAGCUCGUGUCGUGAGAUGUUGGGUUAAGUCCCGCAACGAGCGCAACCCUUUUCCUUAUUUGCCAGCGGGUUAAGCCGGGAACUUUAAGGAUACUGCCAGUGACAAACUGGAGGAAGGCGGGGACGACGUCAAGUCAUCAUGGCCCUUACGACCAGGGCUACACACGUGCUACAAUGGUAGGUACAGAGGGUUGCUACACAGCGAUGUGAUGCUAAUCUCAAAAAGCCUAUCGUAGUCCGGAUUGGAGUCUGCAACUCGACUCCAUGAAGUCGGAAUCGCUAGUAAUCGCAGAUCGGAAUGCUGCGGUGAAUACGUUCCCGGGCCU
rnacentral:rRNA from 1 species